UUAAUUGAAACCAAAAAGAGGUAUGUCACUGUUAAUGACAAAAUUGAAUAGAUAUUCCAAUUAAA
rnacentral:tRNA from 1 species